GAAAAGGGCCAAUAUAUCCUAAAGGCAUCAGAUUCCGUCUGAUCUUGAAAUCUAAGAAGGGUCAGACCUAGUUAGUACUCAGAUGGGAGGCCACUAAUGAAUACCAGGUACUGAAUGCU
rnacentral:rRNA from 1 species